AUAGUUCAAGCCUGAAUUUCAAUGAGAUGGGAACACUUUUUAGUAUAAACGCAAGAUUUUCAUGUCUCCCUUUUAGGAAAUACGGGGAUUAUGGCGUUCAUCUGUUUCAUCCAGGACUGGAAGCAAAACCCUGAACCUCAGACUCUUCCAGCAUGUCUGAUUCAGUCAAACAAGGGAAGAUGCUGCGGGUGCUUUGUAUGCUAAGGAAGUGCUAGGAUGCCAUCGUCUGUCCAGGAGAAGAAAGGAACACCCAUCCAUGUGGUUAAGCUAUCAGAAAACUGGAGCAUUGGGAAUAAAGAAAUUAUUUCCACGAGACAAGCAUGCCAGCCAUUGGCUCAUAAUGAGCUGAAAGACCAAUGACUGCUUCUCAGAGACUCCCAAGGGCCCAGUGUCCUGGCUGCAGACCUGCGGCUGAGUCAGCAUGGUGCCAGCAGAAAGUGAGGGGAGGGUGGCCAGUGCUGCCCCGCCAGGCCCUAUCGGCAUCACCUGGAGCAGCACGGACCCUUCAGUCUCCAUUCUUUCUUCAGGAAAGGGGCCUACUCACAGAUGGACACACCAAGGUUCAGAGACAAAGCAAAUCCGUGGGAUGCUGAGGGCACGCAGGUAACUUCUGCUCAGGAGAGAAGCCCAAAGUCCGCAUCCCAGAGACCUGGAGUGUGGCCGCCAGCUGAGGGACAAGCAGCAAUGAAUGAGAGUUCCUGUUGCUCCACGUCCUCAC